GAUGAAGAACGUAGUGAAAUGCGAUAAGUAGUGUGAAUUGCAGAAUUCCGUGAAUCAUCGAAUCUUUGAACGCACAUUGCGCCCGCCAGCAUUCUGGCGGGCAUGCCUGUUCGAGCGUCAUUUCAACCCUCGACGUCCCCUGGGACGUCGGCCUUGGGGACCGGCAGCACCCCGCCGGCCCUGAAAUGGAGUGGCGGCCCGUCCGCGGCGACCUCUGCGCAGUACAACCACUCGCACCGGGAACCCGACGCGGCCCGCCGUGAAACCCCCAACCUCUGAACGUUGACCUCGGAUCAGGUAGGACUACCCGCUGAACUUAAGCAUAUCAAUAAGCGGAGGA
rnacentral:misc_RNA from 1 species